CCUACGGGAGGCAGCAGUGAGGAAUAUUGGUCAAUGGGCGCGAGCCUGAACCAGCCAAGUAGCGUGAAGGAUGACUGCCCUACGGGUUGUAAACUUCUUUUAUAAAGGAAUAAAGUGAGGCACGUGUGCCUUUUUGUAUGUACUUUAUGAAUAAGGAUCGGCUAACUCCGUGCCAGCAGCCGCGGUAAUACGGGGGGUGCAAGCGUUGUCCGGAAUCAUUGGGGGUAAAGGGUUCGGAGGCGGUAUGCCAAGUCAGAUGUUAAAGCCCGGGGCUCAACUCCGGUUCGGCAUUGGAUACUGGCAAACUAGAGUGUGGUAGAGGUAAAGGGAAUGCCUGGUGUAGCGGUGAAAUGCGUAGAUAUCAGGAGGAACAUCGAUGGCGAAGGCGCUUUACUGGACCAUUAUUGACGCUGAGGAACGAAAGCCAGGGGAGCAAAUAGGAUUAGAUACCCUUGUAGUC
rnacentral:rRNA from 1 species